GCCUGGGUGGCUCAGUCGGUUGAGUGUCCGACUUCGGCUCAGGUCAUGAUCUCACAGUUCGUGGGUUUGAGCCCCGCAUCAGGCU
rnacentral:tRNA from 1 species